AGAUCAUACUUCUGGUUCCAAUGAAGAUGGAACACUCCAUUUCUCGCAGAUGCUCCCUUAUACAACUGUGGCCAUAACACAACGAACAGACAUAGAGAAACUCAAAAGAAAGAAGGUUGACUACCUAGGGAUUGGGGACUUAAGAAACAACCUGCUUGGGAGUUCUGGGUCUGUCUGCUAAUAGAAGAUUAAAUAUGAUCCAGAGUGUCAUAAUAUAACAUAAAAACUGUCAGAAUAAAGUUGAAAAUCACAACAUGAAUCAGAAAAGACAACUGACAGAUACCAACAUCAAGAUGAAUCAGAUGCUGGAAUUAUCUGACAAGAAUUUUAAAGCAGCCAUCAUAAAACUACUUCAACAAGGAAUCACAAAUUCUCUGGAAACAAAUGCAAAAAAUACUGAGAAAAUCUCAGCAAAGAAAUAGAAGUUAUAAAAAAGAACCAAAUGGAAAUUAUAGAAAUAAAAAAUACAAUAAGCUAAAUAAAAUCUUAAUGGAUGGUCUCAGUGGUAGAAUGGGGAGGACAGAAGACAGACUCAGUGAACUUGAGGACAGAUGAACAGAUUUUACUCAAGCUGAACAGAGAAAAGUGUAGACGGAAGAAAAUAAAAACGGUCUUAGAGGCCAGGUGUGGCGACUCACGCCUGCAGUUCCAGCACUUUGGGAGGUAGAGGUGGAUGGAUUGCAUGAGCUCAGGAGUUCAAGACUAGCCUGGAAAACAUGUGGAAACCCCAUCUCUACAAUAAAUACAAUAAAUUAGUCAGGCAUGGCCAUACAUGCCUGUAGUUUCAGCUACUUGGGAGACUGAGGCUGGGAAGAUUGCUUGAGCCUGGGAGACAGAGGUUGCAGUAAGCCAAGAUCAUACCACUGCACUACAGCCUGGGUGACGGACCAAGACCCUGCCUCAGAAAACAAAAAUAAACAAAAACCAUAAACAGUCUCAGGGACCUGUGAGACAAUAACAAAAGAGCUAACAUUUGUACCAUUGGAUUCUCAGGAGAGUGAAAGUGAGACUGAAAAAGUAUUUAAAGAAAUAAUGGGGCUCCUCUAAUUGGGACUCCGAGCUGGGGCUAUUUCUGACGCUGGCACGGCUCCAAGAGGCAUCCGCAUUUGCUACCAGCGCCGGCCGUGGCGGCCGAGCUCGCGCAUCCCAGACGUCACUCUUCCACAUGCUCCUUAGAGAAGGGAAGAUGAGCGAAUCGAGCUCAAAGUCCAGCCAGCCCUUGGCCUCCAAGCAGGAAAAGGGCGGCACUGAGAAGCGGGACCGGGGCAGGCCACGCAAGCAGCCUCCGAAGGAGCCCAGCGAAGUACCAACACCUAAGAGACCUCGGGCCGACCAAAGAGAAGCAAAAACAAGGGCGCUGCCAAGACCCGGAAAACCACCACAACUCCAGGAAGGAAACCAAGGGGCAGACCCAAAAAACUGGAGAAGGAGGAAGAGGAGGGCAUCUCGCAGGAGUCCUCGGAGGAGGGGCAGUGACCGUGCGUGCCGCCUGCUCCUCACUGGAAGAGCAGCUUCCUUCUGGGACCGGACAGCUUUGCUCCGCU